ACACCACUUUACCAUGUAUUUAUUGACUAUACAAAAGGUUUCGACAGUAUCUACCAUCAAGCAAUACUUUCCGCCCUUAACACCACAAAAUUCAUCCAACCUACAUCGAACUCGUUGGUACUAUCUACAUAAACUGCUCAGCCAACGUGAAAUUGGAAAAACCUGGUACUGGUCCAACGUUUCCGAUUGAAAAGGGUGUCAUACAAGGCGACCCUCGCUGUACACGCUUUACAAUUUUCCUCAAAGAGGUCUUCAAGAAGUUGACACAGUCCUGGGAGGACAAGGACAUCAAUUUCGGAAGUAA